rnacentral:tRNA from 1 species
AGGGGAAUAGCCAAGUAUGGUAAAGGCAUCGCCCUUUGACGGCGAGACUGCGUAAGUUCGAAUCUUACUUCCCCUGCCA